GUCCCCAUCGUCUAGUCUGGCCCAGGACACCGCCCUUUCACGGCGAUAACGGGGGUUCAAAUCCCCCUGGGGACGCCA
rnacentral:tRNA from 3 species